UCUUCUCUCUUUGCCCUCGGUGCAGCUCCCCUGACCUUGCUGACUUCUACUUUCUUUCAUUUUUGAUUCCUUCGAAGCUGCCCAUCUUCUCCACUACGUACAGCCCAUUGAAGAUGUCCCUGCUCCUCUCUAUGUCAACAACUCCCACCGAGCAUCUCUCUGAAUCCCUUGCAGCUGCCACUUUCCAACCCCUAUAGUCAACCAGCGAAACCCAAAGCUACUUCUUUAGCUGGUUCGUUGACCUCAGCAACGAUGCCCCUCUGCCUUUGCCGCGUGGCGACUUCAUUUCCGAGCCCCAAACUCCACCGAAAUAAGCUGUCAUCUCCACCGAUCUUCAAGCCAGCUGCUAGCAUGUCCAACCCAUCGAGUCUACUGCGGAACAACCAUUGUUCAAGCCGAUCUAGGACCGAAGACAGCAGCUAAGGCCAUGGGCCUAGCAAGGUUUUCAGGCCCUUCUGAGCUCCCGUUGGUGUCACUGUUUCAGAGUUUGUCGGCCGCCCUUGCGCCGCCGUCGCUGUGGACUCACCGGCUUGCUAAUCCAAUGAGUUUACCCACUAAUCUUUUCUUAGGGAGCUAAUGACGCUUAAGGGUUGAUUAGUUUAAGUUAAGUAUGGUUUAAGUGGUUAGUUAUAACGGAUUAGUGAUUUAGUUAAUCCUUGAUGCAUGUUAGGUGGUUAGAUUAGUGCAAUUAGCAAGUAGAUAUGCAUAGUAUUUAAUUAGACAGAUUCGGAAAUUUUCCAGGACCGUCUCGGCUUUUAAUUAGGUUUAUCCAGCCUAUGUGUGAAUUAAUUAAUUUUCGAAAUUAUUUAAUUAAUUAUUAUUUUCUGGAAAUUAAAUCGGAAUAGUCGGUGACCGGAAUUUUAUGUUGAUUGCAGUAGUGUGAUUUGUUUAUUUAAUUGAGUGAUGGAUGGUGCAAAUUGAGUGUGAAUUGUGAUUUUGGGUAUUUAUCCCAAAAUUUAACAAAUUCAAUAUUUAAUUAGAAAAUAUCAGGUGUCGAUUUACAACACCAAAAUUGCGUUUAUGGACUGUUGAAACUAGUGGGAUUUUCAAAAAGGGUAAAUAAUGUAUUUUGGCUAAAGCCAACCAUGUACUUACACACGAUUAUUUUUAUUGGGUAUGAUAAAAAUGGUGAAAUUAUUAGAUGAUCAUGAUAGUAUACUAUAUCAGUCUACGGGCUUGAUAUGUCAACUUUGGGUGAGAAGUAUACCUUAACAGCUUCUGGCAAGCAUUGUGAGUAUACUAUAUUAACCUGCGGGCCUCAAUAUAUCAACUUCGGAUGAGUAGUAUACUCUAUUAUCAGCUUAUUGCGAGCUAUAUUUAUUAUCAGUUUUGGGUGAGCUAUACUAUCUAUCUUCAGCUUAGGUGAGCAGAUCAUAACAUGAUCGAACUAGAUAAAUAAUAUGAAUGAGUGGACCAAGAGGUGGUCUUAAUGACAUGGAAUCAACUGAGUUGAUUGAUUGAUGACUCAAUCUGAUUUGAUGCCUUAAGGUGCUGAAGUGAUUCGUUGAAUUUAUAAAUUAUACUGACUUAUAGGAAGGAAUGGAGGCAAAUGUAAGACCUCUGACUUGUUUUUGUGUUUAGGCAGCCUUUGGGGCGUAUUUUCUUCCUAGUCGGGGCUUAGGAGGUGAACUUGCUGAGACAUCGUCUCACCCCGUUUGGGAUAACAUUUUCAAAUCCUUAGAUGGCAGUUGAGGAGGAUCCGAAGCUCCAGAGUUUGAUGAAGAUGAGACCGAAGAAUCGGCGUACAUGUCUGACUAGUGGGUCAUAUGACAUUUUCCAUUUUAUUGAGCCAAUCUUUUGUAAACAGCCUAGUAUUGUGUAUAAACCUAGAGUGUUUAUAAAAAGGCUUGUUUUGGUAGGAAUUGUUGCCUACUUUUUUAUCCCA
rnacentral:lncRNA from 1 species